UCCUGGUUAGCUGAGUUGGUUGAGCGCUCUACUGGAGAUGGAGAGGUUCCUGGUUCGAUACCAUGUCCAAGUA
rnacentral:tRNA from 1 species